AGGGAGUGUGUGUAUUUCCUCCCGUUCUUUAUCAGAGCCCCCGAAAUAAGUGGGAAUGGGCAGUGGCUGCUCACACUCCGCGCACCUUUUCCAUUUGCUAAUAAGGCCCUGCCAGGCUGGAAGGGAGUUGUCCCUGUCUGACUCUGGAGAAAAGCGCCACUGAGACGAUCCACAAGACUAUCCACGAGCACCAUGAAACUCAUUCAAGUGACCAUCCUUUGUCUUCUUCUGCCCAGUCUUUGUAGCAGUAACAACAACACAGAUGUUGGAAGUAUAGUCCCUCAAGGAUUACCAUCAGCAACGACUCCUUCGGCAACUGCAUCUGUACCAACAACCACCACAAUGAACACUGUUAUGGGAUCAACGAGUGAAAUGUCUAUAGGAGCAACCAGAGAGAAACUCUCAAGUACAUCUUUGCAGCCAACACAUUCUUCGUUAACGGCAACACUUAUAAGUGGAGGAGCCACAACCAGUGUCAUCACGAAGAUUGAGGUAACUGUCACAAAUGCAACAGUGACAGAGAUUCCACUUUCAAAUGUUUCUUCAACAUUACAAAGUUCCCAACACAAGACUGAGAAUCAGAGUUCAAUCAAAACAGCAGGAACACCAGGGGAAAGCUCUCUACCUCCGGAGGGGUCAACUUCUCAUACCAGUACAUCACCCUCAGUCUCAGUAACAAUGCCAGGAAACAACUCCCAAUUUCAAGGUACUGAAGAUGCAAAAAACGCAAGCUCUUCUUCAGCCAACCCCUCUUACUCCAGUAUUAUUUUGCCAGUGGUGAUUGCUUUGAUUGUAGUGACACUUUCUGCAUUUGUUCUUGUGGGUUUGUAUCGAAUGUGCUGGAAGACAGACCCAGGCACACCGGAAAAUGGAAAUGACCAACCUCAGUCCGAUAAAGAGAGUGUGAAGCUUCUCACUGUUAAGACGAUUUCUCAUGAGUCUGGUGAGCACUCUGCACAAGGAAAAUCCAAGAACUGACAGCUUGAUGAAUCCUGCCCACACCUGGGCAAUAAAUAUGCUACUUCAAAAGCUACCAGAAUAGAGCCCUUAGUAAGUCCCACACAUCAUAUUACGUCUUUACAUUAAGUCCAGGUAACCUUGUAAGCAGCUAUAAGCCUUGGCUCUGCCUGAGUCCUCAAUGACAACAAAGAAGGAGGGAAGGACAGAGGAUCCGGGUGAAGUGCCACGUGACAGAGGGAUGGCUUGGAAAACGCUUCGGAGUCGAAGAGCUCUCUCAGGAGGUAGAGCCAAGGUUUACGUUGCCACCAGACCACAUCUAAGAAUGGAGGCCAUUAUCUUCCAUUCUGUCUUAAAGUUUGGAGCAAGUGGCAAAGGCAAUCCAAACAGGCCCAGUGCCCCCAUCUAAAUCUUUUCUUUGAGAAUGGUACAAUCCAAGUAGGCCAUCCAAGCAGGGAUAUAAAUGAAGCCACAGUAAGCAUUUAAACAUUAAUCACAGAAUGUCCAUGUUUACCACCAAUUAAGCAUAAUCAGUGAGGUAAAAAUCUUUCCAUCUCACCUGUAGCUUCAGAGUACUUGGCUGUUUGAUUGAUGGACUUCCUACCUGGGUUCAUUAUCAGGCUUGCUUAGAACAGCACUGCUGUUUUAUCAGCUCUGCUUCCUUUCCUCCAACUCCCAUGCCUCUGGGAAAAGUUGGAGGUAUUUUUCUAGCUAAAGUCGAAACCUCAGUUGGCUGCGUGCAACACUUUUUUUUUUUUUUUUUUUUUUCUCAUCAGCUCCCACUCCAAAAUGCUUUAAUCCAAAAAAACUGUGAGUUGCCAUGGUGACUCCUAUUGUAGUUGCUAGAAGCUUUUAUAAGAUGCAGUCAUGCUCCUAUUAUAUUUCACUUUUUAAAAUUUCCAGCAACAACAAUAACAAAAUAAAGCUUCAUUUGUUACAGUAGGAAGCGAUGUGCUUAGCAAUUUGCAAGCAAAAUGAAAAAAAGCUGAGGAGCAGGAAACACAGGGCCCCCCACAAGACCCCCAGGGAAGAAAACCUUCAAUGCAGACUGCAGAGGGGAGGUAUUUCUAAAAGAGGAGAUGCUAGCACAGAACACAGAUCCUCCUGUUCUCUCCAGCUUAAAAGACCUUCUCAAUUUCCAGAGGUCUAAAUAAAUGACUGAGUAAGUCAGACAAAGAAAAUCUCUGAUGUGCACUUGAAAGACCAGGGGUCGGCAAACUAUGGCCCAGGGGCCAAAUAUGCCCUGCCACCUGUUUUUUAAAUAAUCACAGGCCGACAGACACAUCCAUUCCUUUAUGUACGGCCUACGGUGGCUUUCAUGCUAAAGUAGAAGAGUUGAGUGGCUGUGCAGAGACCUUAUCACCCAAAAGCAUAAAACAUUUACUAUAUUGCCCUUUACAACAAAGUUGGCUGAUCCCUGCUCCAGGGCUGGGGAGUGGUAAAAGAGUUAGGGAAAGAGAAGGUGGCCAAACGCAUUUUGGAAUCCUGUUUGGAUAUCUGCCUUGGUUUUCCAUAACACCUUAUUUUAACUCAGAUUUCGAGCUCUAAGAAAGUCAACUUCCCUCCUGUGUUCGCACAGGUCCUGAGCAGAUGCCAAGAUAGGGUUAGACUGCAAGAGAUUUUCUGGAGAAUAAUCCUGUGAGGGGCAGAGUCCGGGGAAGCUGGAAGAAGCAGGAGAAGGCUUUGGAGAGGGCUGCAGAUGGGACUCCAGCAGAAGGAAGGGGAAAGGAAGGAGAGUCGGUGGGAAGAGUCUCAUACUGCAACACAGCUCUAAAGGUUUCAGCCAGGCCUCCAGAGUCUGCAAGCCAAAGUCACCCACAAGAGGAGUCCUGCCCUUAUAGGAAUGGGUUUGCCUCAGAACAGAAACGGGUUCAGAAGGCAGCAGCAAGACCUCCAGCACCUAUGCGUCCCACAGCAGAUCCAAGUUUGCCUUGGAAGAGUUUGCCUGGCCCUCACCUCUCUUCCAGACCAUUACUUCAAAUUUAACUUACAACCAACUUGCUCCUGACUGCUGAGAGGCUGAUGUGUGUGCAGAAUGCUGCAUUAAAUACAGUAAUGAGGAAGAAGAGAACAAAGGAUAAAAAAUUCACUAAGAAGUUCAAAGAGGGGGAAGAUAACUUUGGAAUUGUUGACCAGGGAACUGGGACCUCUGACUUUUCUCUGUGAUUGUUUGGUAGGCUCUCAGAGCAAAGGUAAACCUGGAAGACUCUCCUCCUGACUUCAUUCUAAGCCAUCUGACAAGACAGCCCAUAGAAGGGUCUACCAUGUGUUGGUUCUCAAGUUGCUGUCCCAUGGGCUUCCUCUGUACAUCCUCUGUACGUGUACGUCUAGAGAGCUGAGGGAGAGCAGAUAUUCUACACGUGAAGUGGGACAGAUGUCAAAUUGCUUUCGAGUUUCCAACUAUUAUUCCUGCUUUACAAUGGAAACAGGCAAGGAUGAAAAAGGGAUUUCAAAAAGAGGAAUUCAGAUACUAUUUCACACAGUGCAAAGCAACUUGAAAGGACGACCUGAAAUCUCAAGAACCUGUUGGCUCUUGCUUAAAAAGUGGAAUUCUCCUAAAAUAGCACUUGAGUUUCAGAAUUAAAAGACAGCUUUCUUCCAUGAAGGAAAAUCAGCAAGUCAGCCUUCUCCUUCCAUUGUUUUCUUACUGAUACAUUAAAGAUCAAAUCAUCAGA